UCUAAUGAAGUUACCUCAUUUAGGCAGAAUAAUGAUGUCUAUAUAUCCAUUCAAAGAAAAUAAACUAUGCAGAUACAUGAAAACAUCUUCAGCUUUCUUUGCAAAUUGAGGAAUAGGAAGAGUCACUCAUUUGAAAACACAUUCACCAUUAAGAAGCACAAAAUCAAAAAGGCACAAAGGUCUACCUUCAUUCAAUGGUAGUUCUUUAAUAUUUAGUUACCAGAAAUUUACUGCAACAAUGAUUCAGAAGAGCCAUUUGAUCGCUUCAGCUCAUGGUAACCAAAAGUUAAUAAUUGACAAAAUAAGGUUCAAGGGACUGAGAAAAAGUAAUCUAUAAGUAAUAAGGUUAAUCUGGGGGAUGCCAAAUUUAUAUUCCUAUGAUCAUAUACAAUCCUCAAGACAACUGAAAAUGAAAGCUGACCCAGUCUAUAAAGAACUGAUGACUUCAGACAAUGCAGACAAUGAUCAACCGUAACGUCUUGUCAUCUAUGAAUCUGACAACUAAAUAAAAGAAGAGAAAGAAUACUGCAAAGAUUACAAUUUAAAUAAUCUUUGUCCAACUUUGAUGGAGAGCAUUCUGAAUACUCAGUGAUCAACCUUAACGUCUUGUUAUCUAUUAUCCUGUCAACAUGGUAAACUUGGUUUAGCACAGAUGAAUAGAGAGGCACAAUAUACGUAACAAGCCCAACAGUGGUAAUUAACUUCACUAGUUCAGUCAAUUUCAACUGAUUUACUAUAUAAAAUUUUGAAAGUACAACUUCAAUCUUAAAGUUAUAUUUACAAAACAAAAUUUCAUGAAACAAUCGAAAUUUAAGAAACUAGUUUAGCACUGUUUAUGUUUGAGGAUUCUGCUACAAAAUAACUUACAAUUGGUAAAAUACUCAUAAUCAUGUGACGUUCACAUGUUGUUUUCAACUAAUGACAUAGUAAAAAAAAUAUGAAUGAGAUAAUAUUAACCAAUUUUUAUUAGGUAGUUGUAAAAAAAUUUGAAUAGUUCAUCAAAUAUUGUAAUUUUUUAUUUAUUGAAAACAAUAUGGAAGCAAAAGAUUCAGGACUACUUAACAAUUUUUUCAAAAUUUGUGCAAAAGCACAACCAAAAGAAAGAACAAAUUAUAAACAACAAUGAUAGCACAAAGGAAAAUUUAUCCCGAGAAAUAAUAAAAAAAAA